rnacentral:rRNA from 1 species
UGGGGAAUUUUGGACAAUGGGGGAAACCCUGAUCCAGCCAUCCCGCGUGUGCGAUGAAGGCCUUCGGGUUGUAAAGCACUUUUGGCAGGAAAGAAACGUCAUGGGUUAAUACCCCGUGAAACUGACGGUACCUGCAGAAUAAGCACCGGCUAACUACGUGCCAGCAGCCGCGGUAAUACGUAGGGUGCAAGCGUUAAUCGGAUUUACUGGGCGUAAAGCGUGCGCAGGCGGUUCGGAAAGAAAGAUGUGAAAACCCAGAGCUCAACUUUGGAACUGCAUUUUUAACUACCGGGCUAGGGUGUGUCAGAAGGAGGUGGAAUUCAGCGUGUAGCAGUGAAAUGCGUAGAUAUGCGGAGGAACACCGAUGGCGAAGGCAGCCUCAAGGGAUAACACUGACGCUCAUGCACGAAAGCGUGGGGAGCAAACAGG